GACGAACGCUGGCGGCGUGCUUAACACAUGCAAGUCGAACGGAAAGGCCCUGCUUUUGUGGGGUGCUCGAGUGGCGAAAGGGUGAGUAACACGUGAGUAACCUGCCCUUGACUUUGGGAUAACUUCAGGAAACUGGGGCUAAUACCGGAUAGGAGCUCCUGCUGCAUGGUGGGGGUUGGAAAGUUUCGGCGGUUGGGGAUGGACUCGCGGCUUAUCAGCUUGUUGGUGGGGUAGUGGCUUACCAAAGCUUUGACGGGUAGCCGGCCUGAGAGGGUGACCGGCCCCAUUGGGACUGAGAUACGGCCCAGCCUCCUACGGGAGGCAGCAGUGGGGUAUAUUGCACUAUGGGCUGAAGCCUGAUGCAGCAACGCCGCGUGCGGGAUGACGGCCUUCGGUUUGUAAACCGCUUUCGCCUGUGACGAAGCGUGAGUGACGGUAAUGGGUAAAGAAGCACCGGCUAACUACGUG
rnacentral:rRNA from 1 species